CCACCACCACCUCCCCUCACCCCAUCUGAGGAGCUGGCUCUGUCCCUUAAUAAAGGGCGACCAGUGGUUGCUGGCAUUCCAGGGGACAGUUCAUCACACACACCAUGCACAACAAGUGAUGGUGAAAAAAUGGUGAAAUAUACUGAUGGACGUAUUGUAUUAUUGGACCCUCCAGAAAGAACACAGUCACAGUUGUAAAUGAUUUGUUGUCAGGUACCUUUAGUUGCUUUUAGGUAUUUUUUUUUGCCAGAUAAUGUAUACUUAAAUAUUUCUCCUGUAGGAUAAAGAUGAUGAUGACAAUGAAGAGACCACAUCUGCUUUGGACAAUGCUGGUAGUUCCACUGAGUACAUACCCAGGGAUUUGCCCAGAAAUGAGGGUCCUUCAACCUCAGCACACAAUCUAAGCAGGUUGCCAGCAAAGGAGCUGUAUAAGGUCCAUCUUCAAAAACAA